AUGCUGACUCUUUUGCUUGCUCUUUUACCUGGUGCUGGUGUCGGAAGGCUCAUCACACAGUGGCCAGCAGAAAUCCUUAACAGAGCUGGAGAGACUGUGGACAUCUCCUGCUACCAGAAUUAUACCACACUUGCCUAUAUGUUGUGGUACCAGCAGACUCCAAGAAAUGGUCUGAAUUUAGUAGCCAGUACUUCUCCAUGGAUGCAUAACUCUUAUGAGGAAGGUUACAAUGAGGCCAAGUUUGAGAUAAACAGAAAUCAUAAUGAUCAUUCUGUGAUGACCAUCAAGAAUGUAACAUCCAAGGAUGCAGCCACAUAUUUCUGUGCUGCGAGUGAUCACACGGUACAGUGA